CACGGGGGGAGCAAGCGUUGUUCGGAAUCACUGGGCGUAAAGCGCACGCAGGCGGAUCGUUAAGUCAGGGGUGAAAUGCCGAGGCUCAACCUCGGAACUGCCUUUGAUACUGGCGAUCUUAGAGUCCGGGAGAGGUGAGUGGAACUCCGAGUGUAGAGGUGAAAUUCGUAGAUAUUCGGAAGAACACCAGUGGCGAAGGCGGCUCACUGGCCCGGUACUGACGCUCAGGUGCGAAAGCGUGGGGAGCAAACAGG
rnacentral:rRNA from 1 species